rnacentral:rRNA from 1 species
GACGAACGCUGGCGGCGUGCUUAACACAUGCAAGUCGAACGGUAAGGCUCCAGCUUGCUGGGGUACAUGAGUGGCGAACGGGUGAGUAACGCGUGGGUGACCUGCCCUGCACUUCGGGAUAAGCCUGGGAAACUGGGUCUAAUAUCGGAUAGGACCGCACCGUGAGGGUGUGGUGGAAAGUUUUUUCGGUGUGGGAUGGGCCCGCGGCCUAUCAGCUUGUUGGUGGGGUAAUGGCCUACCAAGGCGGCGACGGGUAGCCGGCCUGAGAGGGUGGACGGCCACAUUGGGACUGAGACACGGCCCAGACUCCUACGGGAGGCAGCAGUGGGGAAUAUUGCACAAUGGGCGGAAGCCUGAUGCAGCGACGCCGCGUGGGGGAUGACGGCCUUCGGGUUGUAAACUCCUUUCACCAUCGACGAAGGGUUUCUGACGGUAGAUGGAGAAGAAGCACCGGCUAACUACGUG